rnacentral:tRNA from 3 species
GGGCCAUUAGCUCAGCCCGGUUAGAGCAGCGGCCUCUUAAGCCGCGUGUCGUGGGUUCGAAUCCCACAUGGCCCUCCA